CUGGACAUAAUCUGAGGUAUUCAAGGAAUCAGAUCCUUCAUCAUCUUUCUUCUCUUCACUUGCUCCUUCAUCAUCCUCUUCUUCGUCAUCAUCAUCUUCUUCUAAAUCACUGAAACUUCCAAGGAAAGGGUCUGAUAUUUUGAGAAGCUUCAGAAGACAUUCAUCUGCAUCCUUGAGUAGAGAAACAGAAAAUGAAGCCAUAGUUUUGAAAAAAAAAAAGCUCUCAAGAAUGGUUUGUUUGAGUUGUAACCUCACCAUGGAUUUUUACUAGUAACAUUUAAUAAAGUGGGAAGAUCAAGACGCGAAUUCCAAGCAUUUGACUAAUUUUUUCACCAUCCAACUAAUAUUCUUUAUGACCAUUUAAGAACAUCCCUCAAAAGUACCAAAAUACAUUGAACUGAAAGUAAAUAUUGACGGGACAUUAAACUUAUCUAGUUUUACAAAAGUUUAGUCACCUUUACACUGUUCAUACCCCCCUUACUUGGUGGCUUCAAUCCACACUGAACAAGGUCCAUAGCAAUACGUUUCCUCAUAAGAGCAGACCUUCUC
rnacentral:lncRNA from 1 species